UACGAAGGGGGGCUAGCGUUGUUCGGAUUUACUGGGCGUAAAAGCGCACGUAGGCGGGUCGUUAAGUCGGGGGGUGAAAUCCUGGAGCUCAACUCCAGAACUGCCUUCAAUACUGGCGAUCUUGAGUCCGGAAGAGGUGAGUGGAACUCCUAGUGUAGAGGUGGGAUUCGUAGAUAUUAGGAAGAACACCAGUGGCGAAGGCGGCUCACUGGUCCGGUACUGACGCUGAGGUGCGAAAGCGUGGGGGAGCAAACAGG
rnacentral:rRNA from 1 species